ACCCGCACAAGCGGUGGAUGAUGUGGAUUAAUUCGAUGCAACGCGAGAACCUUACCUACCCUUGACAUGUCCGGAAACUUGCCAGAGAUGGCUUGGUGCCCGAAAGGGAAUCGGAACACAGGUGCUGCAUGGCUGUCGUCAGCUCGUGUCGUGAGAUGUUGGGUUAAGUCCCGCAACGAGCGCAACCCUUAUCAUUAGUUGCUACGCAAGGGCACUCUAAUGAGACUGCCGGUGACAAACCGGAGGAAGGUGGGGAUGACGUCAAGUCCUCAUGGCCCUUAUGGGUAGGGCUUCACACGUCAUACAAUGGUCGGUACAGAGGGUUGCCAAGCCGCGAGGCGGAGCCAAUCCCACAAAGCCGAUCGUAGUCCGGAUUGUUCUCUGCAACUCGAGAGCAUGAAGUCGGAAUCGCUAGUAAUCGCAGGUCAGCAUACUGCGGUGAAUACGUUCCCGGGUCUU
rnacentral:rRNA from 1 species